rnacentral:rRNA from 1 species
AGUGAACGCUGGCGGUAGGCCUAACACAUGCAAGUCGAACGGCAGCACAGUAAGAGCUUGCUCUUACGGGUGGCGAGUGGCGGACGGGUGAGGAAUACAUCGGAAUCUACUUUUUCGUGGGGGAUAACGUAGGGAAACUUACGCUAAUACCGCAUACGACCUACGGGUGAAAGCAGGGGAUCUUCGGACCUUGCGCGAUUGAAUGAGCCGAUGUCGGAUUAGCUAGUUGGCGGGGUAAAGGCCCACCAAGGCGACGAUCCGUAGCUGGUCUGAGAGGAUGAUCAGCCACAGUGGAAGUGAGACACGGUCCAGGCUCCUACGGGAGGCAGCAGCGGGGAAAUUGGACAAUGGGCGCAAGCCUGAUCCAGCCAUACCGCGUGAGUGAAGAAGGCCUUCGGGUUGUAAAGCCCUUUUGUUGGGAAAGAAAAGCAGCAGGUUAAUACCCCGCUGUUCUGACGGUACCCAAAGAAUAAGCACCGGCUAACUUCGUG